rnacentral:rRNA from 1 species
GGGUCAGUAGGUUGGUCAUGCCACUGGUAUGUACUGGUCUCACUGAUUCCUCCUUCCUGAUGAGCUGUAAUGCCAUUAAUUUGGUGUUGCGGGGAAUCUGGACUGUUACUUUGAAAAAAUUAGAGUGUUUAAAGCAGGCCAAAUGCUUGAAUACAUUAGCAUGGAAUAAUAGAAUAGGACGCGUGGUUCUAUUUUGUUGGUUUCUAGAGUCGCCGUA